rnacentral:rRNA from 1 species
GCGUUGUCCGGAUUUAUUGGGCGUGAAGAGCGUGUAGGCGGCCAGAUAGGUCCGUUGUGAAAACUGGAGGCUCAACCUCCAGACGUCGAUGGAAACCAUCUGGCUAGAGUCCGGAAGAGGAGAAUGGAAUUCCUGGUGUAGCGGUGAAAUGCGCAGAUAUCAGGAAGAACACCCGUGGCGAAGGGGGUUCUCUGGGACGGUACUGACGCUGAGACGCGAAAGCGUG